GAUGAACGCUGGCGGCGUGCUUAACACAUGCAAGUCGAACGGUGAACACGGAGCUUGCUCUGUGGGAUCAGUGGCGAACGGGUGAGUAACACGUGAGCAACCUGCCCCUGACUCUGGGAUAAGCGCUGGAAACGGCGUCUAAUACUGGAUAUGUGACGUGACCGCAUGGUCUGCGUUUGGAAAGAUUUUUCGGUUGGGGAUGGGCUCGCGGCCUAUCAGCUUGUUGGUGAGGUAAUGGCUCACCAAGGCGUCGACGGGUAGCCGGCCUGAGAGGGUGACCGGCCACACUGGGACUGAGACACGGCCCAGACUCCUACGGGAGGCAGCAGUGGGGAAUAUUGCACAAUGGGCGCAAGCCUGAUGCAGCAACGCCGCGUGAGGGAUGACGGCCUUCGGGUUGUACCUCUUUUAGCAGGGAAGAAGCGAAAGUGACGGUACCUGCAGAAAAAGCGCCGGCUAACUACGUG
rnacentral:rRNA from 1 species